GACGAACGCUGGCGGCGUGCUUAACACAUGCAAGUCGAACGGAAAGGCCUGCUUUCCCUUGUGGAUUGCGGGUACUCGAGUGGCGAACGGGUGAGUAACACGUGAGUGAUCUGCCCCCAACUUGGGUAUAAGCCUGGGAAACUGGGUCUAAUUCCCGAUAGGACUGCAGGGUGGUGCCUGUGGUGGAAAACGAUUUUCUAGUGGUUGGGGAUGAGCUCGCGGCCUAUCAGCUUGUUGGUGGGGUAAUGGCCUACCAAGGCGGCGACGGGUAGCCGGCCUGAGAGGGUGGACGGCAACAUUGGGACUGAGAUACGGCCAAGACUCCUACGGGAGGCAGCAGUGGGGAAUAUUGCACAAUGGGCGGAAGCCUGAUGCAGCGACGCCGCGUGGGGGAUGACGGCCUUCGGGUUGUAAACUCCUUUCGACCGCGAGGAAGCCACCUGGUUGGAAGGGUGGUGACGGUAGUGGUAGAAGAAGCACCGGCUAACUACGUG
rnacentral:rRNA from 1 species